UUUCAUCCUCAGUUGUGACACCUUGUAAAGUCAGUUUAGAUAUGAGCGCUACAAACUAAUCAUUGAUUACAUUUCUGGGAUAUAACUGCCAACAAUGAUUUACAGGCUAAUGUGAUGAAUUAUUGAUAUGGAUGAUAUAAAGAGCCGUACAGCCGCGCGUAAAGGUCACACUAACUACAGCUGUUCUGCUGUUGGAGAACCUCACCGGUGCAACACAGUCAUCAAUCUACAGAGUUUUAUGCAUCUGGCCCUUCAUUCAUUCUCCAGCUAGCUGCUAGCAACUGUUGACGUCAGGGAGGCAUUUCAAACUCGCAGCCUUGUCGUCAGUCAGAUGGAGGUCGGAUCACAUUCACACCAUGAACCAACCACUACAGAAUUUGUUUGUGACCAGGCAGAGACCACUCGGGUCCACUGGGGACGGCUGUGACCCAGGAGGUGGAGCAGGUCGUCCACUAACUGCUGGGUUUGUAGUUCAAUCUCCAGGUCUUCCUGUCCAUGUGUCAAAGUGUCCUUGAGCAAGAAACUGAACCCCAAGUUGCUCCCGAUGGCCUUGCGUGGCAGCUCUGAGUGUGUGUGAAUGGGUGAUUCCCUUCCUCUCAAUGGUCCCUCUGUGGGUUGUUUGGGUGCAAGUACGAUUGCUGUGUUCAGAUCUGCCCAAAGGAAUCACACCAAAGAGGAAAACAAACCUGAGUCUGAUCAACUGGACUGAAUGCAAGUUUGAAAACACCCUUAUUCAUCGGUAUCUUUGUUGUAGUGCUUUGAAAAGUGCCCAUGGAGUGAUGUCAUCUGUUUCUGCUCUGUGCUGUAUUUUCAGUUUGGUGCUCAGCUGUAUAGGCACAAAACCAUCAAUAUCUCAGGAACAGAUGUAGAUAAUUUCAUCAGAUUUUAACAUAUAAAUGAGAACAAGGAGCUUAUUACACAGUUAUCAGUUGGAAAAUCACUGCGCCUGUGCUUUAAUGUAUAGAGUUACUUUGCACAUGUGUUUUAGAGACAUUCUUUUGAUUUCUCACAGCUUCUCCUUUCACGAGUUGAGGACGAAGACGAGGAUGUGGAGCUGUUUAACCUUACUUCCAGACUGUUUCCUGUUCACAGAGUCGAUCCUGCAGCUCCAGGCAGAGGUGACAGAUAAGAUCUCUCCCACUUCAACUUAAAUAUACGAGGAAGGUGGAGUUCAGCAGGCGGAAAGCAUGAAGAGCGCUUUUACCAGGAUGCAUUUUAGGAGGUGUUUUUCUUUUUUCAGCGAGAGAUAAAAAUGUCUCUGAGUGUGUCACGCAGGACACCCUUUCUUCCAUUGUCCUCGCCUGUGUUAGAGAGGGUGGCGACAAGAGAAAAGUCUGGCAGCUAAAAAGCAUUCCUGCAGGGUUAUCUUCAUCGCCUCGCACUCUGACUCUCGCUCACCGGUCGUCUGUUUGCAGAGAAGGUUUCAGUGGCACCGGUCACGUCUCUCUCACCACCUGAUUUUAUUGGACAUCUUUAUUGUUGUUGGGUCCGGCGGGGUGGACAUGGAUGCUGGAUGCUUUAAUUAAAAGUGUUGGACCUGGUCCUGGGGGUUUCUGUGGGGAGGUGGGCGUGUCCUCGUUCCCUUCCUGAUACAUACGGCGAGGUUGGCUGGUACAUGUGUCUACAGGUCAGAUAUCAGCUGGAGGAGAGAGAGAGAGAGAGCAUCAAACAUUAGAAGUAAAAAAAAAACAAACCAAUUUAU